AAAAUGAAGCCGGGAAACCGGUCCUUCUAACCCUUGAUUAUCUUAAUUUGUUGCUUUGGUGGGCCGCGCAAGCACCGGCUUCGGCUGGAUCGUGCCCGCCAGAGGACCACAACUCUGUAUCAAAUGUCGUCUGAGUACUAUAUAAUAGUUA
rnacentral:misc_RNA from 1 species